rnacentral:rRNA from 1 species
GCGCCCGACCUCCACCCUUUGUUGUUAAAACUACCUUGUUGCUUUGGCGGGACCGCUCGGUCUCGAGCCGCUGGGGAUUCGUCCCAGGCGAGCGCCCGCCAGAGUUAAACCAAACUCUUGUUAUUUAACCGGUCGUCUGAGUUAAAAUUUUGAAUAAAUCAAAACUUUCAACAACGGAUCUCUUGGUUCUCGCAUCGAUGAAGAACGCAGCGAAAUGCGAUAAGUAAUGUGAAUUGCAGAAUUCAGUGAAUCAUCGAAUCUUUGAACGCACAUUGCGCCCCUUGGUAUUCCGAGGGGCAUGCCUGUUCGAGCGUCAUUACACCACUCAAGCUAUGCUUGGUAUUGGGCGUCGUCCUUAGUUGGGCGCGCCUUAAAGACCUCGGCGAGGCCACUCCGGCUUUAGGCGUAGUAGAAUUUAUUCGAACGUCUGUCAAAGGAGAGGAACUCUGCCGACUGAAACCUUUAUUUUUCUAGGUUGACCUCGGAUCAGGUAGGGAUACCCGCUGAACUUAAGCAUAUCAAUAAG